UAAUUUGUAGAGGAUGCUUCGAGCGUGGUCCGGUCUAAGUUCCUUGGAACAGGACGUCAUAGAGGGUGAGAAUCCCGUAUGCGACUGGGUGCCUAAGCUCAUGUGAAGCUCCUUCGAC
rnacentral:rRNA from 1 species